UGCAAGUCGAACGAGAACUCGGAUUUAUUCGAGGGACAGUGGCGGACGGGCGAGUAACACGUAAGUAGUUGCCCUUCACUCAGGGAUAACAUCGAGAAAUCGGUGCUAAUACCGGAUAGUCUGGAAGCAGUAAAGCUUUUGCGGUGAAGGAGACGCUUGCGGUCUAUCAGCUAGUUGGUGAGGUAAAAGCUCACCAAGGCUAUGACGGAUAGCUGGUGUGAGAGCACGACCAGCCGCGAUGGGACUGAGACACGGCCCAUACUCCUACGGGAGGCAGCAGUAGGGAAUCUUCCGCAAUGGGCGAAAGCCUGACGGAGCGACACCGCGUGGUGGAUGACGGUCUAUGGAUUGUAAACACCUUUUCUCAAGGAAGAAGAUCUGACGGUACUUGAGGAAUAAGGUCCGGCUAAUUACGUGCCAGCAGCCGCGGUAAUACGUAAGGACCAAGCGUUACCCGGAAUUAUUGGGCGUAAAGCAUCCGCAGGCGGUUUAGAAAGUCAGUUAUUAAAUACCGGAGCUCAACUUCGGUGCCGUAAUUGAAACUUCUCAAACUAGAGGAUGGUAGAGGCAUGUAGAAUGGUGCAAGUAGGGGUAAAAUCCGUAGAUAUGCAUCGGAAUACCAAAAGCGAAGGCAGCAUGCUGGGCCACUCCUGACGCUCANGGACGAAAGCGUGGGUAGCAAAAGGGAUUAGAUACCCCUGUAGUCCACGCCGUAAACGAUGCGUGCUCGAUGUGGGGAGACUCGACCUUCUCUCCGUGUCUAANGUAACCCGUUAAGCACGCCGCCUGUGUAGUACGAGCGCAAGCUUAAAACACAAAGGAAUAGANNGNNANCCACACNAGCGGNGNACAUGGGGUUUANUUCGUCAAUNAGCGAGUA
rnacentral:rRNA from 1 species